UACGUAGGGGGGCGAGCGUUGUCCGGAUUUAUUGGGCGUAAAGAGCUCGUAGGCGGCUUGGCAAGUCGGGUGUGAAACCUCCAGGCUCAACCUGGAGACGCCAUUCGAUACUGCUAUGGCUAGAGUCCGGUAGGGGACCACGGAAUUCCUGGUGUAGCGGUGAAAUGCGCAGAUAUCAGGAGGAACACCGGUGGCGAAGGCGGCAUCCUGGACCGGUAUUGACACUGAGGAGCGAAAGCCAGGGGAGCAAACGGG
rnacentral:rRNA from 1 species